GUACUUAUGAGGCUAACAGGCUCGUGCGCCAUUUUUACCCCCCGUGACGCAAAAUGGGCCCUCAGGACAGUCUCGUUUUUCAUCGACCGCCAUCCAUCACUUAUUUUGUUUGUCAGCAAGUGUCUUAGCUAGCUGACAGAUGCAAAGCCAGUGGCUCAAAUAUAGUUGCUCUGAAUGUGAAGGUGUAUCUAUGAGGUACCUAUUACUAAAACACUAUAAGCUGAAGCAUGGCCAUUAUGGUCAGAGACACUUAUUUUCGUCCACAUACUGUGAAUGCCCAUGCGGAUUCAAAACAUUGAAUUCUGUGGAUGGAAAGUAAGUACAAACCUAAAAAGGUGAAGAAGCCACAGAAAGCAAAAAGUCAGCUAUCCUGAUUACAGGUGAAACUAACGAAAGUCUUGAGGAGGAAAGGCAAGCUCUUACACUGGAGGUGAAGAACAACUAACAGCUAAUCCAAAGUGAAGCAAGCAGCAGGACACAAUAUCAGCCUGAUCAUGGCAGCCAUGGACAAGGGUAUUGAUCUUGGUGCAGUGAGAGGAAUGGAGAAGGAAUGGUUUUGGGCAUCUACUUUGUCUGACACAAGGGAGCAGACUCUACAGAUCCACCUGAGGAUGUUGGCAUCAUUAAAAUAUGCACAGUGCUGCAAGAUCUGGGAGAUUUGGCAAAUGGGUGUGCAGUCCUGCUUGGCUUGAUCUAUAGUUUAAACUUGAGCUAUGCCAAGGAUCUGCAAUACACAUUUGAAUUUCUUUAAAGUGUUGAUGGAAUUGGAUGGGAACAAGCUCUCCAGUACAGUACAGGUCCUCAACAACAAACUGUGUGACUUCUGUUGACUCUUGGGCAAAGAAAUAAACUGUGACUAGCUUUGAAUUUUGGAGCAGUGCUGGACGAGGAGAUCAAUCUAAAGAACACAUUUUGCUUGAUUGCAGUUAUUACAAUGUUUCAAGUUUUUUUAGCUGUCAUACAUGUUUGAAUUUCUUCAGAAAGUGAUGGCCUUGGAUAGGAACAAGCUUUUGAUUUAAGGUGCAAGUCCUUGAAAACUUCUGUUGACUCUUGCUUGGGCAGCGUUACUUGUCUUUGGAUUUUGGACUGCUGCUGGACAAAACAAUCAGCAGUGUAAAGAG